AGCGAACGCUGGCGGCGUGCUUAACACAUGCAAGUCGAACGUGAAAUGUAGCAAUACAGAGUAAAGUGGCGUACGGGUGAGUAACACGUGGGUAAUCUACCAAAGAGCCCGGAAUAACCGGCCGAAAGGCUGGCUAAUACUGGAUAGUUCAAGCGAAAUAUAACGUUUCGAUUGGGAAAGGGAGCGGGUAACCGCCUUCAC
rnacentral:rRNA from 1 species